GAUGAAGAACGCAGCGAAUUGCGAUAUGUAAUGUGAAUUGCAGAUUUUCAGUGAAUCAUCGAGUCUUUGAACGCACAUUGCGCCCCCUGGUAUUCCGGGGGGCAUGCCUGUCCGAGCGUCAUUGCUGCCCUCAAGCACGGCUUGUGUGUUGGGCCUCCGUCCUCCUCCCGGGGGACGGGCCCGAAAGGCAGCGGCGGCACCGCGUCCGGUCCUCGAGCGUAUGGGGCUUCGUCACCCGCUCUUGUAGGCCCGGCCGGCGCUUGCCGACACAUCAAUCUUUUUUCCAGGUUGACCUCGGAUCAGGUAGGGAUACCCGCUGAACUUAAGCAUAUCAAUAAGCGGAGGA
rnacentral:misc_RNA from 1 species